AAACUUUAAAUGGGUGAGAAGUCCGCCUUGCUCGAUCGAAGGCCGGACAUCGGAUGAGAGUGCCCAGUGGGCCACUUUUGGUAAGCAGAACUGGCGCUGUGGGAUGAACCAAACGCCGGGUUAAGGCGCCCGAUGCGAGACGCUCAUGAGACCCCAUGAAAGGUGUUGGUUGCUCCAGACAGCAGGACGGUGGCCAUGGAAGUCGGAAUCCGCUAAGGAGUGUGUAACAACUCACCUGCCGAAGCAACUAGCCCUGAAAAUGGAUGGCGCUCCAGCGUCGAGCCUAUACCCGGCCGCUGCGGCAGAGCUCUGCUUCUAGAGUCUUACGCCGCAGUGAGUAGGAGGGUCGCGGCGGGGAGCGUUGAAGGUGCCGGGCGUGAGCCCGCCUGGAGCCCCCGUCGGUGCAGAUCUUGGUGGUAGUAGCAAAUACUCAAGUGAGAACCUUGAGGACUGAAGGUGGAGAAGGGUUCCAUGUGAACAGCAGUUGAACAUGGGUCAGUCGGUCCUAAGGGAUCGGAGAAAUCCGUUCCGAAGCGGGACCUUACAUCCGAGAGUGCAAAGUCCCGCUGCCGACCGAAAGGGAAUGGGGUCAAUAUUCCCCAACCCGGACACGGAGAUUGAGCCUUCGGGCUCGAGUGCGGCGACGCAACCGAACUCGGAGACGUCGACGGAGGACCCAGGGAAGAGUUGUCUUUUCUUUGUAAGGGUUCGUGUCCCUGGAAUCGGCUCGUCCGGAGAUAGGGACGCUGUACCCGUAAAAGCACCGCGGCUCUUGCGGUGUCUGGUCCGCCUCUGUCGGCCCUUGCAAAUCCGAGGGAGAUGGUGUGAUUUUCGUGCCGGACCGUACCCAUAUCCGCAGCAGGUCUCCAAGGU
rnacentral:rRNA from 1 species